UUUUCCAGGAAAGUGACAGUGAAGAUAGCCAACAUGGGUACAUUCUGGAGUCAAUGAAGCCUGUAUGUCAUCAUUAGGCCACACGUGACUUUUGAGGUUUUAUCAUCUAUAGUAUGCUGAGAAGACCAGUGUCAUCCAGGGGCAACAUGGAAGCUGUAACUCAGGAUGACUUCUCUCAUGUUCUCACAGUAACAUCAGGCCUUCCAGGAAAGCAUCAAGCAAAAACUGACAUUUUUCUCAGCAGGAAUCUGGAGCAAGUCAGUGUGGAUCAUGGAAACUGCCCCUCAGUGGACAGUGGGGUCUCAAAUGUGUUGA
rnacentral:lncRNA from 1 species